rnacentral:rRNA from 1 species
AACGAACGCUGGCGGCAGGCUUAACACAUGCAAGUCGAGCGCCCCGCAAGGGGAGCGGCAGACGGGUGAGUAACGCGUGGGAAUCUACCCAUCUCUACGGAAUAACGCAUGGAAACGUGUGCUAAUACCGUAUACGUCCUUCGGGAGAAAGAUUUAUCGGAGAUGGAUGAGCCCGCGUUGGAUUAGCUAGUUGGGUGGGUAAAGGCCUACCAAGGCGACGAUCCAUAGCUGGUCUGAGAGGAUGAUCAGCCACACUGGGACUGAUACACGGCCCCGACUCCUACGGGAGGCACCAUUGGGGAAUUUUGGACAAUGGGCGCAAGCCUGUUCCAGCCAUGCCGCGUGAGUUAUGAAGCCCCUAGAGUUGUAAAGCUCUUUCACCGGUGAAGAUAAUGACGGUAACCGGAGAAGAAGCCCCGGCUAACUUCGUGCCAGCCGCCGCCGUAACAC